rnacentral:misc_RNA from 1 species
AAACUUCGCAUAUAUAAGUUUGUUUGGAUGGAAACACAGAUAACUGCCGAGAAAGAGAAUUUUAAAACACGAAUUUUUGUGGUUCAUGUAUAGUGAUUGUUAUCGUAUAGUAGUUGUACUACGUUAAACAUUUAGAUAUAUAGGUCAAUGACUCAUGUGUUCUCCAAAAAAGCUCCAAAAAUUGUAUUUGUUCUCUCAUCAAUGCUAUGUAGACAAUGCAUUCUACAUGAGCAUGCUGUUUAUACUUUGAUUAAAUCAAUAAUCGAAUGUAAGAUGAGGAGAAUUGGACAGUCCUGCUCUGUGGUAAAAAUUAAAUGAAGGCUUUGUGUAUCAUGAAUAUAUUCGUUCUCCUUGUCCAGUUCACAUAUCAUAUAAAUAUAUUGUGUGUAGAUUCAUAGUGAAAAUAAAGUAAAGGAAAAUAUAAUAAUCAAUUUAAUGCAUAAUAUGCUCUGUUCUUUGUAUGUUAUUGAUAAAAAUCAACACAAACUGUCAACUUAUCACAUAUAAUCAGAUCAGCAUUUAGAACAAUAUUAAAAUUGGUGUUAUUGGGAAAUUUAAUGUAGUUUCCAAAUUUUUUACUCAAUAAAACAUGUAAAUAAAACAAGUAGACUUAUUUUUCUCGAACAAUUAGACGUCUUUCAACAUUAUCAGUUUUAUGUGCAAAACCUUUCUGCUUAAAUAUAAUCAAUAAAAUGUUUUCUCUGCAUUACAUCAAUAAAAAUUAUGUCAAAAGAUUU